ACCAGGGCACGGGUUGAGCGAUUCCAGAGAGCGGCGCUGGGAAUCCAGAUGAUAACAGAAGUAACAGGCCCGCUCGGUCUUCCAGAAGGAUUGUCGGUGCCAACUCGCAGGACACGCGGCAGUUGGCCCGGAGAGGAUCUGCUCCUCACAUUAAACAGGAGAUAAUAACGGACGUAUACAAACCCUGAUGGCCCUGCUGGAGGAUGAUGGUGCAAGAAUCAAGCCGUCCACGUCUGGGGAGAACCUUCUCGGGCCGACCUCUCAUCGCCCCUCGCGUCCUGGUCAUCCUGGGUUCUUCCCUGCUGAGGCUGAAGAAGAUGCUCGUCUUCUCAUCUCCACCCUGGAGGCCGCCGGUCAAAUGUGGUAAAGCACUUUUGUCCCGAGACCGGGUGAAAGGUGUCAUCGGGAAAGCUCUGCCAAAGAAGUGUGGGUGGCACUGGGAGCAGGUGGGUAAAUUGUCUUGCCCAAGGACACAACGGCAGUGACUAGGAUGGCAGAAGCGGGAAUCAAACCUGCAACUCUCAAGUUGCUGGCACAGCCACUCUACCAACCAAGCUAUACCGCCCCCUGAUGAGUGCGAGCUGCUUAAAGGACCAGUGCAUCCAAGGAUCCUGGCGGGAACUUAGUUCUCAAAUGGAGUACCUGUUUUCGUUCCGUUAACCUGGAUCUCGACUGCCUCCCUCGUUCCUCAACUCCUCGCUCGCCCCCGGACUCUGACGCCUCUCUCUCGCCCCGAAUCACCUCGUUCCUUCCCUCUCAUCAACAUUUGGUGACACACACUUCAGCUGACUACACACAUAGCCUCACACACACACACUCUUGGGUUUUGACAAACUCCAUUUCCUUAGGUUAGUUUAUUUUUUAGUAUUAUUGUGUAUUUUUAUAUUUAUAUCAU